rnacentral:tmRNA from 1 species
GGGGGUGCACCGGUUUCGACGACUGUGACGAAGGCAUUUACUGCAUGUGGGAGUCAAGGUUCCCUGAACUGAGAAAAAAAUAACUGCAAUUUUCGAAAGAAAAGAAGAGGAAGUCUUCGAGGCUUCUUCUGCAGAAGCAUUGGCAGCAUAACUGCCUUGCCGGAACCCAGGUUACGCUGUUCCUAGUGGUCUGAUGUUCCGUCGAUAAUAGGGACUUGCUCUUCAGUGUUUCAGGUCGCCGGAGGGGACUCUUCAAUCUGAAUACGGAGGAGACUCUUGCCGUGCUGCCAACUCCUCCCGACAACCACCUCGCACGGAUAAACAUGUAGAUGUAUCUGGCUUGCACUUUCGGACGCGGGUUCGAUUCCCGCCAUCUCCA